GGGCCCUUAGCUCAGUUGGUAGAGCGCGGCGUUUGCAUCGCUGAGGUCAGGAGUUCGAACCUCCUAGGGUCCACCA
rnacentral:tRNA from 1 species